GCUUUAUUACUCUCUGCGGUGGCCAUUUCUGCUGCCAAGUAUGGCAUGGAGGAGAUGUCCCUUCAAGACGGUUAGACACAUAGUCUGCAGCAGAAUGCCAUUCAUGGGUAAGAAUGUUUUCUUCAGAGCACUGAGGAUUUGGAGGCUAGACCUGUGAGCUGAGCUUGCUGUAGGAGAAAGAGCUCCUUCAUGUUCUCACUGCCCUGAGUGGCUGACCUUCUCACAAGAAAUGCCCCCAACUCCUCAGACAGGAGACACCACCUGCCAUUGCAGCAGCAGUCUGGAGGCAGCAGACUGUGUUCGCAUAUUUGGUAAUCAGCAUGAACGCAGCCAGGAGAGGGGCCCAGCUGCGAUGUCAGUUUCCCCUCAUUAACACUGGGUCAAAAUGACUCUGCUAUCUUAAAUGGCUCCUCUUUAAUUAAAUUAAUGUCGACUUCUCUGUUCUACCCUGUCCUAGGAAUUUUCAAUCUGUUACUUAAGGCAACGGGAGAAAAAAAAAAGUUUUUUUUUUUCAUUAAUCCUGUUGCUUGAGUUAUGAUUUCUACAAAGAGCUUAAUACAGAUUAAACAUAAUUGAAGACCUAUCACUUAAAAGAGCCCAUUCUGUUGUGUCGUUUGCCAAAUGCAGCAUUGACUAGGCAGGGACAGGGGCUGGAAUAGACAGAUCAAGCCAAAUACGAAUAUACCAUGACCUCUGGAAGCCCAGAAUCUGGGUAGAGAGAGAAGAAGGGCAUGAAACAGUAUAAGGUCAGGUGUUCUGUAGUGUAGUCAUAAAGGCUUUGAGAAAGCUAAGCAGACUGGGAAUAUGAUAGCUGCUGAAACGUUUGCUUAUUCCUACCGCAUGUAUCGCCGGGGCUCAAGCUGAUGGAGAAUUCUUCUCUACUAGACAAUGGUGCAUGACUCGUGAUUUACAUCCUAUUGCACAGAUCAAAUCACAUGGCAUGGGGAGUCCAUUACUGCUAGUGGAAGGCACUGGCAUUCAUAUGGCAAAGGGGAUAGAUGCAUGCCUUGUGUGGAGAGCACACCUUUGGGAACAAUAAUAUCAGCCACUGCAUGUGGUUAACAAGCUAUAAGAGACAGAAACAUCAUUCUUCAAAAGGAGACGAUUCUCUCCCUCGCCGCCAUUCUCAAGCCAUUCACAGCUUAAGGAAAUAUAAAAGGAAGUUAUUACUCCCUUGGUGUAAUUAUGUAAGUCUUUAAGUUGAACUCUAAAACAUAGGAUAAAUAGAUAUGGGAAAUGCUAUGGUGGUCCUGAAAAUAUCCAUUGGGGGUUGUGGCUCGCCUGUCAUGUGUCAGAUGCCUAGAAUCAACUACACAGCAAGGAUGAAGUCUGCAUGUUAAAAAGAUGACCGAAGAGGAAAAGUGAACCGAGUUGUAUCAGGAUGGCGCAAAUAUGCCUCAACUUCUCUGCUCUGAAAGAAAAGCAUACAUAAUUCUAAUAAAAUUUUCUGGUUACACAUGCACACUGACACACACUUGUGUGUGCAGUGCAUGUGCACACGCACAGACAAGCAUCAUGACAGCAUUGGUCUUGAAGAGGAAAGACAGCAGGAAGAGAGCUGCAGUUCACACGAGCUCACCUUAGCAAGCUCAUCCAUCUGACUGACAAAGCUAUGAUGAAAGCUGAGGCCAAUCCGAACUUUCUUUACUAUUCUCUCAGGAAGCUGCACUGCUAGGCAUGAUCUAUUUAGGCUGGGUUCAUGUAAAUUUCCCCCAUUCUGCGGUAAUUCCUCCUCACCAAGCAUCCAGUGUUACUGUCACACACCAACAUGACUGAGUCAGGUCCGACUCAUCAUGUUGACUUCCUGUGAAAUGAAACAGCCUUCCCAGGACAUUAAAUGAGUGAUUUACAAAGCCCAA
rnacentral:lncRNA from 1 species